AGCUUAACAGAGCAACUGACUUGUAAUCAGUAGGUUGGGGGUUCAAGUCCUCUGGCCG
rnacentral:tRNA from 1 species